rnacentral:rRNA from 1 species
UACCCUAUUAUAAUAAAAUAAAAAAAAAAAUUUAAGCUAUUAAAUGUUAAAUCAUUAAAAUAAAUAAAUUUGGCGGUAUUUAAUUCAUAUUAGAGGAACUUGUUUACUAAUUGAUAAGCCACGAUAAGAACUACUUAAUUUAAUAUUUAUGUAUUGCUGUUUUAUAAUUAAUUUUGAAAAUUUAUAUUAAAAUUUUUUUUAUAUAAAUAUAUAUAUAUAUAUAAUAUAUAUAUAAUUUAUAUUAUAAGAAAAUAAUUCAAGUCAAAAUAUAGUUUAGUUAAGGUUUUAAUGAGUUACAAUAAAAUAAAUUUAARAUAUUAUAUUAAAUUUAAUAUAAUAAUAUUUAAUAAUAWUAAAUAUAAUGAAUUUAAAAAUUUAAUUUUUUAAUGAAGGUGGAUUUAAAAGUAAAAUUAAAGAAUUAUAUUUAAUUUGAAAAAUGUUUUUAAAUAUGUACACAUCCCCCGUC